rnacentral:rRNA from 1 species
GACGAACGCUGGCGGCGUGCCUAAUACAUGCAAGUCGAACGCAGUGGGGACGGGUGAGUAACACGUGGGUAACCUCCCCAGCAGAGGGGAUAACCAUUGGAAACAGGUGCUAAACGGAUACUGAUGGAUGGACUCGCGGUUUAUUAGCGAGUUGGUGAGGUAACGGCUCACCAAGUCCACGAUGAGUAGCCGACCUGAGAGGGUGAGCGGCCACACUGGGACUGAGACACGGCCCAGACUCCUACGGGAGGCAGCAGUAGGGAAUCUUCGGCAAUGGACGAAAGUCUGACCGAGCAACGCCGCGUGAGUGAAGAAGGUUUUCGGAUCGUAAAACUCUGUUGUUAGAGAAGCGGUAUCUAACCAGAAAGCCACGGCUAACUACGUGCCAGCAGCCGCGGUAAUUC